ensembl:lncRNA
GAUGACAGGCGAGGGACGAGGAAGAAGGAUUGGGGUGGGACAGGGCCCAGGCAAUCUGUGUGUUGCCGUGGCAACUCCCGGGGGUCUUGUCGUGCCUCUAAACAGGGGAUUUAAAAAGUCGCCCUUAAGCCAGCUGAAGAGGGCUAAUUAGUGCACAUGACUUUAGACCUACAUGCCCUCACACCAGUUAGAAGGAGGGAUCACAGAGGGAAAUAGUAUGCCAAAUAAGUGUACUUAUUCAUGCAACACCUCCGACAACAAUCCAUUUUAGAGACUUUUCUAAUGUGUAUCAGAUGACUGCAUUGAACAAACAUGUUUCCGGCUUCCUCGGGUUUUGCGCCUCACAGUGAGGACGCCAGAGCUCGCUAACUAAACAGCAGCACCAUCUGUGCGCAGUAGGCUCCUCCAUCAAGGCAAUUACUGUUCUUCUGCAGCAUUUUGUACUGCAUUCAUCCAUUCAACUUUGUGUCGGAGUGCGGGUGGAAAAAUCUGUAAGGGUCAGGGCAAGCCUGCAGUGGGAAGUAACCCAAUUUGGUACGAUAUAUAUAUAUGUGUGUGUGUGUGUGUGUGUGUGCGUGUGUGUGUAUGCGUGUGUGUGUGUGUGCGCAUGUGUGUGUGUGUGUGUGUGCGCGCGUGUGUGUGUGAGUGCGCGCGUGUGUGUGAGUGUAUGUGUGUGUGUGUGUGUGUAUGCCCGUGUGUGUGUGUGUGUGUGUGUGUGUGUGUGUGUGUAUGUGUGUGUGUAAAGGACAGAGUCGGCAUUAAAGUCUUGUGCUCCACCCCAGGUGAGUCUGGGGUGGACGUGAGAAGAUCAAUGCUGUGGUGAGAGAAUUGCUCUGGCCCCUCCCGCCGGGCCCUAGGCCGUCUCCAACACCUGGGAUAAUUUGUCUCUCUCUGGCCCUUGCCACUGGUGCUUUUAUUUAUUUGUGUCUCCCAUGUGCCUCUGCUGGUGCCCCUGACAGGUUGGCCUGCUCCUGCAGUAAUUUGUAGUGGGUUUUGUUUCUCUCUCUCUCUCUCUCUCUCUCUCUCUCUUUCUCUCUCUCUCUGGGGCUCUGGGAAGAGGCUGGUUGGGUGGGUGUGUUCGGUCAUGCAAGGGAUUUAGGCCUGCUAAUAAGAUCAGCUCAAGCAGGGAAGACAAGAAGGCCUCGGGCAUUACUGUACUUAACCUACUUAAUGUGCAGCAUCCACACAGAAACAGGUAUGAAACUUGCGUGAGUCACUUAUGCCAGCAUGAUACAUAUUGAGCCAAGCGAUGAGAAUUCCAUAAUUCCUAAUCGAAAGCUAAGACCUCUGUAGUGAUUCGAUUGGCCAUGGCGUGAAGGACAGCGGAAUCAAAACAAAAUGGGCGAUGCAGUCGAUAUACGUUAAAGCCGAUGGUAUUUUAUGACGGAGCCUUCCACACAAGGGGGUUUAAGAUGGAUGAACAUCAAGGCAUGCCUGAGCUUAAUUAGUGAUAGCCAUCCAUGCGUGGCAAAUUAGGCUGUUGUUUUUCAACAGCUGUCAAACAUCCCUUGUUUUAUUAUUCAUAGGACCACAGUGUGGGGCCCUCGUCAGCGUGUAUAUUUAAUUAUUUAUUUAUUAUUGACUAGCGCCAGCAAAAUCACACCAGUAAACAGCAUGAGAUGUGUGUUUUUUUCCUGUCUCCAAUGAAUGGAGAGAAGGCGUAGAUUUUUAAACAGGAGCAUAUGUGAACUUGCACAUUGUUCUGUCAGUGCCUCUAAAUCAUAUUGUACAAGUAACCAUUUCAGGCAAUAGACCCGUAGUUUGGAACUGUACUUAUUUACUCAUUCUUGGCACAAUUGCGUUGCAUAAUGUGAAAUGUUUGCAUAAAUGUUUUUUUUUCUUCUUCCUUGAGUUCAUGUUAUGCUGUUCCACCAAUACCCACUCUGCAUUAGCCUUGUUUUUCCAACACUCUCAGCAAACCCCAGGCAAUAUUUCCGAACCUCAUAACGUUGCACAAUCUGCUUAAAUUUACAUGAGCGCCGCUCCUGUGCCUCUACCGUUGCUUAACUGUUCAUAUUUUUCCGUCGUAUUAAAUCGCAGGGAUUUUUAGUUUUUCUUGUCUGUCUUGUUUUUCUUUUCCAUUUCCAUUUGCAUGUGUGAUGGUAGCCUUCAUCAGCGCCGGCUUCCACUCAAGGCUGCGCCGUUCCUGUCAUCGCCGCGAGGCACCGCCGCGGUCCCCUUUGCUGAUGGAUGCUGACAGAGUGCAAAUACCCAGCAGUAUUAAUCACUUCCUGUUUCGCCUGUGGGUUUGGGAAGGCCCCCGCCACCUGAUUACGGGCGAACAUAAAUCGUCUUUGCACUCGCCGCCCUUUCCGGCUGGCGUUGGCACUCGCCUUCCCGCUUUCUGUGGAGCGUAAAUGAGUGUUCAGACCUUCGGAAGGCGAGAGUGUCUUGGGCAUCACCUCCUGUGCCACAAACUCUGAGACAACAAAAAAAAAGAGUGUGCGCGAGAGAGCGAGAAAGUGAGAGAGAGAAAGAGAGUGGAAGAGAGAGAAAUCCUUGAUCCCCACUUGCUGUGGUGUUAGCUUAUGUUGCCUCUCCUCUCUGCAAGGUAAUGAAGGCUCAUUUUGGCCUGUCAGUUGUGAUAAAUGUGUGUUGAGCGCAGAUUAAAAUGUAAUGUCUUCUCACAUACUCUAUUUGAAUGCCGGAGAAGCGUGCCGGCGGUUUGUGUCAGAGAGGGGGAGGAAGAGUCGGGGAGACGGCCGUGGAUUUUCUCAUUACCCGCCGAGCCUACACACACUUAGGCCCACUUUGGGUUCAACAUUUUACUGCAGAUGUGCUCGAAACAACAGAAAGAGGAAGAGGCCAUAGUUGCCGUGGAGAUAAUGAUCAUGGUUAUUACACUGACCACAAAACGAAUGCGACUCUCUGCCAUUUAAAGGGCAUUACAUGCCGCGCGUGGUCUGAAGUUGAAUGACUAUGAUUGCAAGAAGUUACUUUUUUAUUACACCUGUGUGUCUUUUGUGCGUUACCAAACUUGCAUGAGUUCAUAAUGGAUUAGAAGCUACCAGGGACCAUGAGAAGUGGUGGGGGUAGUUUGACUUGGCUUCAGUGUGCAAGGUGCUUAUCAGUGUUUCUUGGCAUGGCUCAGCCUGACCCUGAAGGAUAUUCUGUAUUUUGUUGCUAAUGGACUCAAACCAGUCAAACCAAGAAUCAUUGAUUUGAGUAAAACAAGACACUCUAUACAUGACAAGAACUAUGAGCAUCUAUAUUUAAUAUGUGACAUACACAAGUAAUGCUGUGCUUUAUUUAGUCAUAUACAAUAAGCAGUCUUUAUAUUCUCAUAACGUUAUGGUCACAUGUGCGCAGGAAAAGAACAGUGCUUGGUCACAUGUGCGCAGGAAAAGAACAGUGGUUGCCAGACCUGUUUGUUCCACCAUUUGCAUCUCUGACAGCGUCUUCUGUCUGUGAUUGGCUCGUCACCUGUGAUUAAAAUCUAGCUGAAUGGCAACGUUGUUAUGAGCUCCCGCUGUCAGCCAGGGACUCAAACACAAUUAGCUCAAAUGUGUGCUAUAUUUGUCUACUCUCCUUUUUGUGAAUGGUAUGUUAUUUUUUUGUUUGUUUGUUUUAUUUUGCUUAAUUUUUUAUUUUUAUUUCUGCUUUUUUUGAAGAGUAUGUUUGGCAUGCAGCGAACGAGAGCGGCGGCUCUUUGAUGUGACUGGAGAGGUGGCAGGUAUAGACGGGCGCACCUUUGCUUUGGCAGUCGUGUCACACUACCUGAAUGACUGCGAGGACACCACUGUCAAAAGGCAGCCGCAGCAUCAGCCACCGUGAUGUUUAUUCAUUUCCCUGGAGGAAACUCGCUAUAUUUAGCUCCAGUCAAGUGAGAAGUUAAAAGCCGAUGAGAAAAAAAUGCAAUGUGAAGUUUGGCACAGCCACUGUUAAAUGCCAUGAUACAAAGAGUACGAAGUUAAAAGUUAAAAGAGCCUGUGAAUGAAUAAAUAUAUAUAUAAUUCUAAUGCGGCGGUCCUAUUAUCAAGAGCUGCUCUCAGAAACAGCUUUUUGCAGCUUUGUGGAGCUACAGGAGAAUGGCCUACAUGUAAGGCAAAAAAUAGCAUCCGGAAAAACACUGAGCCUCUCUCAAAAAUGUCUUUGAUUAUUUCUCUGCCUUUCUCUGACUUUCGGCACAACAAAAACCACACAACAAAUUUCAAAAAACACAUUAUGAACCAGAGGCUUUGAACUGCCGCCUCCCUGCUAAGAUGCGAGAGUCAGAGCCAGAGUCAGAGCCUAACCCCAGCGGUUUUACGCCCAGCUGGCUCCCUUCUUAUUGCCCAAAAAGGUUAUUUUUUUUACCCCCAACCAUUAGAUUACAGAACAAAAUCCCUAAGCUGACAGCUGGGGUCUCAUUUGCAUAGCACUGAGACGGCCAUUAAAGUUUGUCUCACCUAGAAAUGAUUCACUUGACAUGGGUGAUGCGCUGGCAUAAGCUCUCGAUACCUGCAACCUCCGAUACUUGCGAGUCAUCCAGACGGAGGGGGGCUUAAGAGGGAGUGGGGAGCGCCAGGCUUACUUGGGUCGCAACGACUGGGAAGACGAGGUUAAACAAAAAAAGACAGGAGUUGAAAUGAGAGACAGAGAAAACAUCCACGUAAAUCCGUAAGAGGUGCUAUCCCAAUACGGGCCCCUCAGUCUGGCUGGCAACUCAUCCUAAUCCCUGUCUCUGAGAUGGGCGUGAUGUCAGAGGCUUUAGCCGGACCUGAGGAGGGCUAAUGAGGCCCUGCCUGCCUGCCUGCCUCGUCUCAGACCGUGGUGAUCAGUCUGCAAGCCACAAGCAAAGGGAUUGAGGUCACGUCAACCAUACGUAAAAUGAGGGAAAAGACUUAGUGUUUUUCCUGUGAUUGCUGGCCUUGCAGCAGGUUUGAAAGCCGUUAGUUUUUUUGGAAGAGGAAUGUCUGGUGGUUUCAGCGAGAGUGGACUGAGAUUGAUUGGUUUGGGAAGUGCAGUGUAUGGUGUUGCAUCAUUAGGAGAGAAGAAGAACAAACAAGAGGGAACAUUGGGAGACAGUGAAAAACUAUCUUCCAUCUUGACUAUUACUUUUUCUAGGCACCAGGGCAGUGUUUGGCAUUUCUGUACAUUUCCACAAUGGUGUUAAUUAAUCUAGAGAGGUAGCUGAUGUUAGUCAUCUCAAAAAUCUCAAGGGAGGUGGUAGACCCAUUCAUCUUUAACCCAUAAAGAGUUUUCUAAACAAUAGCUAUUCUUAUCUGAUUUUAAACUGUUAGGCCUACAGUUUUGAUGAUGAAUUAGAAAGGUUUUUGUAUUAUAUAUGUAAGUGCAGAGACACUGAAGAAAGAGCAGACACAGCAAUUUUCACCAAAAACGAAACAAAAAACAUUCGUCUCUUUUCUGGAGUUGAACAUUUUGCCUUAUUAGCUACUUCAGAAGUUCAUUUUGCCCUUGCAUCAAUCCAGACAGUAAUCUUACUGUGUAUGUGUGUGUGUGUGUGUGUGUGUGUGUGUGUGUGUGU